rnacentral:rRNA from 1 species
GACGAACGCUGGCGGCGUGCCUAAUACAUGCAAGUAGAACGCUGAAGAGAGGAGCUUGCUCUUCUUGGAUGAGUUGCGAACGGGUGAGUAACGCGUAGGUAACCUGCCUUGUAGCGGGGGAUAACUAUUGGAAACGAUAGCUAAUACCGCAUAACAAUGGAUGACACAUGUCAUUUAUUUGAAAGGGGCAAUUGUUCCACUACAAGAUGGACCUGCGUUGUAUUAGCUAGUAGGUGAGGUAAUGGCUCACCUAGGCGACGAUACAUAGCCGACCUGAGAGGGUGAUCGGCCACACUGGGACUGAGACACGGCCCAGACUCCUACGGGAGGCAGCAGUAGGGAAUCUUCGGCAAUGGGGGCAACCCUGACCGAGCAACGCCGCGUGAGUGAAGAAGGUUUUCGGAUCGUAAAGCUCUGUUGUAAGUCAAGAACGGGUGUGAGAGUGGAAGGUUCACACUGUGACGGUAGCUUACCAGAAAGGGACGGCUAACUACGUGCCAGCAGCCGCGGUAAUACGUAGGUCCCGAGCGUUGUCCGGAUUUAUUGGGCGUAAAGCGAGCGCAGGCGGUUUGAUAAGUCUGAAGUUAAGGCUGUGGCUCAACCAUAGUUCGCUUUGGAAACUGUCAAACUUGAGUGCAGAAGGGGAGAGUGGAAUUCCAUGUGUAGCGGUGAAAUGCGUAGAUAUAUGGAGGAACACCGGUGGCGAAAGCGGCUCUCUGGUCUGUAACUGACGCUGAGGCUCGAAAGCGUGGGGAGCGAACAGGAUUAGAUACCCUGGUAGUCCACGCCGUAAACGAUGAGUGCUAGGUGUUGGAUCCUUUCCGGGAUUCAGUGCCGCAGCUAACGCAUUAAGCACUCCGCCUGGGGAGUACGACCGCAAGGUUGAAACUCAAAGGAAUUGACGGGGGCCCGCACAAGCGGUGGAGCAUGUGGUUUAAUUCGAAGCAACGCGAAGAACCUUACCAGGUCUUGACAUCCCGAUGCUAUUUCUAGAGAUAGAAAGUUACUUCGGUACAUCGGUGACAGGUGGUGCAUGGUUGUCGUCAGCUCGUGUCGUGAGAUGUUGGGUUAAGUCCCGCAACGAGCGCAACCCCUAUUGUUAGUUGCCAUCAUUCAGUUGGGCACUCUAGCGAGACUGCCGGUAAUAAACCGGAGGAAGGUGGGGAUGACGUCAAAUCAUCAUGCCCCUUAUGACCUGGGCUACACACGUGCUACAAUGGUUGGUACAACGAGUUGCGAGUCGGUGACGGCGAGCUAAUCUCUUAAAGCCAAUCUCAGUUCGGAUUGUAGGCUGCAACUCGCCUACAUGAAGUCGGAAUCGCUAGUAAUCGCGGAUCAGCACGCCGCGGUGAAUACGUUCCCGGGCCU